rnacentral:rRNA from 1 species
GUAAGGAAUAUUGGACAAUGGGGGAAACCCUGAUCCAGCCAUGCCGCGUGAGUGAAGAAGGCCUUCGGGUUGUAAAGCUCUUUCAGAUGUGAAGAUGAUGACGGUAACAUCAGAAGAAGCUCCGGCUAACUUCGUGCCAGCAGCCGCGGUAAUACGAAGGGAGCGAGCGUUGUUCGGAAUCACUGGGCGUAAAGAGUGCGUAGGCGGUUAUACAAGUCAGGAGUGAAAUCCCAGGGCUCAACCCUGGAAUUGCUUUUGAAACUGUAUAGCUAGAGUCCCGGAGGGGUUAAUGGAAUUCCGAGUGUAGAGGUGAAAUUCGCAGAUAUUCGGAGGAACACCAGUGGCGAAGGCGAUUAACUGGACGGGCACUGACGCUGAGGCACGAAAGCGUGGGGAUCAAACAGGAUUAGAAACCCUGGUAGUCC